rnacentral:rRNA from 1 species
UACGUAGGGCGCAAGCGUUGUCCGGAAUUAUUGGGCGUAAAGAGCUCGUAGGCGGCCUGUUGCGUCCGCUGUGAAAUCCCGGGGCUCAACCCCGGGCCUGCAGUGGAUACGGGCUGGCUAGAGGCAGGCAGGGGAGAACGGAAUUCCUGGUGUAGCGGUGAAAUGCGCAGAUAUCAGGAGGAACACCGGUGGCGAAGGCGGUUCUCUGGGCCUGUACUGACGCUGAGGAGCGAAAGCGUGGGGAGCAAACAGG